ACAGGGGUCAGUUUGCAGUAGGACACUCUCAGGACAGGAGUCAGUUUGCAGUAAGAUGCUCCAGGCCAGGGGUCAGUUUGCAGUGGGAUGCUCUCAGGACAGGGGUCAGUUUGCAGUAGGACACUCUCAGGACAGGGGUCAGUUUGGAGUGGGAUGCUCCAGGACAGGGGUCAGUUUGCAGUAGGACACUCUCAGGACAGGGGUCAGUUUGGAGUGGGAUGCUCCAGGACAGGGGUCAGUUUGCAGUGGGAUACUCUCAGGACAGGG
rnacentral:lncRNA from 1 species